UACAGAGGGUGCGAGCGUUAAUCGGAAUUACUGGGCGUAAAGCGUGCGUAGACGGUCAUGUAAGUCGGAUGUGAAAGCCCCGGGCUCAACCUGGGAAUUGCAUUCGAGACUGCAUGGCUUGGGUGCGGAAGAGGGAAGCGGAAUUUCCGGUGUAGCGGUGAAAUGCGUAGAUAUCGGAAGGAACACCAGUGGCGAAAGCGGCUUCCUGGUCCAGCACCGACGUUCAGGCACGAAAGCGUGGGGAGCAAACAGG
rnacentral:rRNA from 1 species